UGCAUCCUACGGGGGGCAGCAGUGGGGGAUAUUGGACAAUGGGGGAAACCCUGAUCCAGCGAUGCCGCGUGAGGGAAGAAGGUUUUCGGAUUGUAAACCUCUGUGGAGGGGGACGAUAAUGACGGUACCCCUUUAGGAAGCCACGGCUAACUACGUGCCAGCAGCCGCGGUAAUACGUAGGUGGCGAGCGUUGUCCGGAAUUACUGGGUGUAAAGGGAGUGUAGGCGGGAAAGCAAGUCAGAAGUGAAAACUAUUGGCUUAACCCAUAGCCCGCUUUUGAAACUGUUUUUUUUUGGUGAAGUAGA
rnacentral:rRNA from 1 species